GAGGGUGUAGCUCAAUUGGUAGAGCACAUGCUUAGCAUGCACAAGUUCCGGCGUUCAAUUCCCAGUACCUCCA
rfam:Camelus ferus unplaced genomic scaffold scaffold42601, whole genome shotgun sequence.